rnacentral:rRNA from 1 species
GAUGAACGCUGGCGGCGUGCCUAAUACAUGCAAGUCGAGCGAACAGACGAGGAGCUUGCUCCUCUGACGUUAGCGGCGGACGGGUGAGUAACACGUGGAUAACCUACCUAUAAGACUGGGAUAACUUCGGGAAACCGGAGCUAAUACCGGAUAAUAUAUUGAACCGCAUGGUUCAAUAGUGAAAGACGGUUUUGCUGUCACUUAUAGAUGGAUCCGCGCCGCAUUAGCUAGUUGGUAAGGUAACGGCUUACCAAGGCGACGAUGCGUAGCCGACCUGAGAGGGUGAUCGGCCACACUGGAACUGAGACACGGUCCAGACUCCUACGGGAGGCAGCAGUAGGGAAUCUUCCGUAAUGGGCGAAAGCCUGACGGAGCAACGCCGCGUGAGUGAUGAAGGUCUUCGGAUCGUAAAACUCUGUUAUUAGGGAAGAACAAAUGUGUAAGUAACUAUGCACGUCUUGACGGUACCUAAUCAGAAAGCCACGGCUAACUACGUG